rnacentral:rRNA from 2 species
AACGACUCUCGACAACGGAUAUCUCGGCUCUCGCAUCGAUGAAGAACGUAGCGAAAUGCGAUACUUGGUGUGAAUUGCAGAAUCCCGUGAACCAUCGAGUCUUUGAACGCAAGUUGCGCCCGAAGCCACUAGGUUGAGGGCAUGCCUGCCUGGGUGUCACGC